rnacentral:snRNA from 2 species
AUCUCUUCUUGUCCUUUUGGCUAAGAUCAAGUGUAGUAUCUGUUCUUAUCAUUUUAAAAAUAUUAUUCAAAAGCUGAAGUAUUAAAAUAGCAACAUCU